rnacentral:rRNA from 1 species
CCUACGGGUGGCAGCAGUGAGGAAUAUUGGUCAAUGGGCGAGAGCCUGAACCAGCCAAUUCGCGUGAGGGAGUACUGCCCUAUGGGUUGUAAACCUCUUUUGUCGGGGAGCAAAAGCCGGACGUGUCCGGCUGUGAGAGUACCCGAAGAAAAAGCAUCGGCUAACUCCGUUCCAGCAGCCGCGGUCAUACUGAGGAUGCGAGCGUUAUCCGGAUUUAUUGGGUUUAAAGGGUGCGCAGGCGGAUUUUUAAGUCAGCGGGAAAAUCGUGGGGCUAAACCCCAUCCAGCCGAUGACACUGGGGAUCUAGAGUGUGCGAGAGGUAGGCGGAAUGCGUGGUGUAGCGGUGAAAUGCAUAGAUAGGACGCAGAACCCCGAUUGCGAAGGCAGCAUACCGGUGCACAACUGACGCUCAGGCACGAAAGCGUGGGUAGCGAACAGGAUUAGAUACCCGUGUAGUC